rnacentral:rRNA from 1 species
CCUACGGGUGGCUGCAGUGAGGAAUAUUGGUCAAUGGGCUAAGGCCUGAACCAGCCAAGUCGCGUGAGGGAAGACGGUCCUCUGGAUUGUAAACCUCUUUUGUCGGGGAGCAACGAGGCCACGUGUGGCCGCAGUCAGAGUCCCCGAAGAAAAAGCAUCGGCUAACUCCGUGCUAGCAGCCGCGGUAAUAGAGAGGAUACGAGCGUUAUCCGGAUUUAUGGGGUUUAAAGGGUGCGUAGGCGGAACAUUAAGUCAGCGGUAAAGUCGGGGGGCUCAACCCCGUUAAGCCGUGGAAACUGGUGAUCUUGAGUGGGCGAGAGGUAUGCGGAAUGCGUGGUGUAGCGGUGAAAUGCAUAGAUAUCACGCAGAACUCCGAUUGCGAAGGCAGCAUACCGGCGCCCGACUGACGCUGAGGCACGAAAGCGUGGGGAUCGAACAGGAUUAGAUACCCCAGUAGUC